UAACUAGGAUUAGAUACCCUAUUAUUAAGAAAAAUUAUAUUGUUAGUAUAUAAAUUGUAUGAAAACAAAAAAUUAUGGCGGUAUUUUAAGCUUUUCAGAGGAAUUUGCUCUUUAAUGGAUAAAACACCUAAAUCUUACUAAAUUUAGUUAAGCAGUUUGUAUACCACUAUUUAAGUAAUAAUUUGCUAUUAUUACUAAAAUUUAUAUUAAUUAAAAAAAGUUAAGUCAAGGUGCAGCAUAAAUUUUAGUAUGAAGUGAAUUACAUUUCUUUUAAGAAAAAUUUGUUGAAAAUAAAAUUUAGGAUUUGAAAGUAAAAUUUUAAUAGAAGGAAAAUUUGAAUUAAGCUCUAAAAUAUGUACACAUCGCCCGUCGCUCUCAUAAAAAAUC
rnacentral:rRNA from 1 species